UAGUGGCGGACGGGUGAGUAACGCGUGGGCAACCUGCCCUAUACAGGGGGAUAACAACCAGAAAUGGUUGCUAAUACCGCAUAAGCGCACAGGACCGCAUGGUCCGGUGUGAAAAACUCCGGUGGUAUAGGAUGGACCCGCGUUGGAUUAGCCAGUUGGCAGGGUAACGGCCUACCAAAGCGACGAUCCAUAGCCGGCCUGAGAGGGUGAACGGCCACAUUGGGACUGAGACACGGCCCAG
rnacentral:rRNA from 1 species